rnacentral:rRNA from 1 species
GACGAACGCUGGCGGCGUGCUUAACACAUGCAAGUCGAACGGAAAGGCCCUGCUUUUGUGGGGUGCUCGAGUGGCGAACGGGUGAGUAACACGUGAGUAACCUGCCCUUGACUUUGGGGUAACUUCAGGAAACUGGGGCUAAUACCGGAUAGGAGCUCCUGCUGCAUGGUGGGGGUUGGAAAGAUUCGGCGGUUGGGGAUGGACUGGCGGCUUAUCAGCUUGUUGGUGGGGUAGUGGCUUACCAAGGCUUUGACGGGUAGCCGGCCUGAGAGGGUGACCGGCCACAUUGGGACUGAGAGACGGCGCAGACGCCUACGGGAGGCAACAGGGGGGAGUAUUGCACAAUGGGCGCACGCCUGAUGCGGCGACGCCGCGUGCGGGAUGACGGCCUUCGGGUUGUAAACCGCUUUCGCCUGUGACGAAGCGUGAGUGACGGUAAUGGGUAAAGAAGCACCGGCUAACUACGUG